GAGCUUUUAAAUCUCUGACUAAGGCAUAUUUUCCAUAUCUCAAAUCAUCCUUGCAGCUCAUUUCUGAACCCUUUCUAAUUUUUCAACAUCCUUUUCUGAAUGUGGACACCA